rnacentral:lncRNA from 1 species
UUAGAUUAAUGUGAUUAAUCUAGUGGUCUUUCAUUAUAAUUUUUUCAAAAAUAUUUUAAAAUACAUGCAUGAAAUCACCUGCAUUCUCCAGCACUUGACUUACGCACCAACUUGAUAAGUACUUAACUGUACCUAGUAACCUUCUGUCACUAAGUUAGAAAUUCAGAUGGUCCAACAUCAAAGUACAGUGAGUUACUUACAAGUCACUGUGGUGAUCU